AAUAAGUGUUCACUAGGACAGAUUGGGAGAGAGAACUGUUAUAUUUAGUCCAGGUUCGAGAGUUAUCAUAGAACCAGUACUUGUUCUCUCAGAGUAGAAUUGUCUGUGACUUUUCUCCUGGUUUUUAUUUUUUCACGGGCCAGAUCUCUCUCCCUCCCCCUCCCCUCCCCUCUCUCUCCUGUGAAAUAGUCAGUCCUCAGUUUUCAUUGUAUAUCUAUCCAUAGAUUUACUCAGCCAGAUUUUUUUUCUUUCAAUCUAUGGUGCUUUUUUUUCUUCUAGUUCAUGAAUGAGUCAAUUGACCGAAUGUAGGCAGCUACUGAACUUGGCAGUUGGUUGCCAUCAGCCUGCCUGUGGACAGGAAGUGUUUAGGAUAGAUAUGACUAACCAUUUUCCAAGCCUUAAAUAAAGCAGGGGAUUUUGGACAUAAUAGGUCUUUGUCGCUCGUUUCAACAUUUGCUGCGUGUUGAAGUUCAAAGCCAGCCCCUUGGCUACUUUACAUUUUUCCAGGUCCUCUGUUCCCCCAGCUUUCUGUGUUAUAGAGACUGAAACUGUCCUCGGGCUUUGGGUGUCAUGCUGAUUGUCGUAAGUGAAUUAUGAGGAUAUUUUAAUUGUCUUGAGAAUCUUCUAGGUCUGUAUUUUCUACUUUUUUUGUUCUUUGAGUUUUCCCUCCUUUUCAGUUGCCACCCUCCUGAGGUUCCUACCUGACUUGCCUACAGAGCAGUGUAAGGUAAGAGAUGAAAGUGACCCUGGACUGCUACACAGACCGUGGACUUGUCCUUUUGAAUAUACGGCCCUCAUGAUGUAGCAACAUUUUCCACUCCUAAAGCUCCUUCCAGUUAGCCAGUGUCUUUUAGACUUCUUUAAAUCACAUCUUUCUUUCACUCAGGGAGAACCAUGCCAUUUUGACAAAUUCCAAAAUAUUUUUAGUGAUCUUGUUGGCCUUUAGCUAAGACUCUAAAAGAAAUUUCUUUUUCUGCCCUUUGCCUUCUCUUUAACUUUUGUAAUUUUUCCUCCCUUAACUUAAAAUAACAACAACAAUAACAAAAACUCUGGUACCUCGUUUAAGUAGCAUCCUCCCCCUGUGUUAGGAUUUAAGAAGUAUUGACUAUAAAAUAAAAACUGUGACUAUUGAGUCUCUUCCUAUGUAAUUCAGAAUUCACAUAGGAGACAUUUUAAAUAAUAUGAAAAUUACAAAAGAAAGCCGUUUUGAAUAUAGUUUGUAGAAAUUAUAAAUGGAUGCAACAUCGGUGAGACAGGAUUGUCUGCACUUUCUUCUCUGCAUCCCCGACUGUGCUGGUCACUUGAGUUACCGUUUGUCUGCCAAAUACACAGCCAUGCAGGGGAAAGAGGAUUUAAAAUACAAAAUGCAUGCAAAUAUUGUUAGUUGGCUUAGGGUGAAGUCAUUAUCAGAUCUUUGAACCAUCUUCAGUGACAGGGCUACACUUUGCUAAGUUUAGAAAUAAAUUGUAAACAUAAAACAUAAGGUAUUUGUCUCGGUCAGGGUUGGUACUCUUGCUCUGAUCAAACACUAUUGACCUAAGCAAGUUGGGGCGGAAGGGAUUUAUUUGGUUCAAGCUUCCACUUCACUGAAGGAUGUCAGGAUAGGGACUCAAAUAGGACAGGAACCUGGAGGCAGGAGUUGAUGCGGAGGCCAUGAUUGGUGCUGUGCACUGGCUUGCUCCUCAUGACUUGUGUUGUCUGCCUUUUAUGGAACCUAGGAUGGCCAGCCCAGAGGUUUGCCUACUCACAAUAUGCUGAGCCUCCUCCAUCUAUCACUGACUAAGGAAAUGCCCCAUAGUCUUGUCUGCUUACAGCCUGAUCUUCUGGAGCCCCUUUCUCUAUUGAGGUUCCCGCCCUUUGGAUGACUCCAGCUUGCGUCAAGUUGUCAUAAAACUAGUCAACACAGUAUUGCAGUCGGGCCAGACAUGACUGACGCUAGAAUGUGUGCUGUUGAGUGCUUUCCUUAUUUAUACCUCUUUUUUUCACACGGAAGCAGGAAAAAGCAGUGCCAGCUUUGGUUUAGAAUAAAGCUUAAUUUUAAAAAUUUGAAAUCCUAUGUAUGAAUUUUCAUCAAGUAAAAACAGUUUCUUGAUGGAAAAUAUUGAUUCUUUUUUUAGAAACCAAGACUCUUAGAGUGGAGAGUAGCAGAUAGGAAUUUUGUAUAGAUGUCUUGUGUGUGUGUGUGUGUGUGUGUGUGUGUGUGUGUGUGUGUGUAUAGGACUCCCUGGAACUUGAGAUAGGCAGGGAUGGCCUUGAACUGAACCUGGAUCCUCUGUAAGAAUGCCAAGACAUUUCAAUUGCUGACCCAUCUCUCUAACCCUUUGUACCUUUUUUAAUGAUGAAUAUACUACAUUGUAGGCAAACAGAAAAUGCUUGAUAGCCAGUGAAGUGUGAAUAGACCCACUUCUAGAUGGCUCACAAUAUAAAAUACUUUGCAAAAACAAAACGUGUGAUUUUUCAUGAGGUCCAUGGAUCAUUCAAACCUGGAUAUUUAUUAUGUCUCUGGGCAAAUCACCUGGUUUGUAGGUACUAGAGUAUGUGACGCUCAGUACUUACAUCAAUCCUGUCUCAAGAGUCAGAAUUAGACUGAAUAGCUCUGACACAAUUCAUAGGCACAAGCUUAGGAAGGCCUCGUAGGCUGAGUCUGCACAGGGAGCCCUCAGUCUGCUGGUGUGUGUUUGAACCACAGUGUUCAGGACCCAGCUUAGAGCAGACAGGCCGUGGAAGGACAUUAAGCAGACUGGCUCUGUCUGAGCUGACCGAAGGCUGUGGCUACCUAACGCCUUACUAAGUGGGAAGGUGGCAGAAACUGAAGAUUCGUCUUUCAAAUUUGACAUAAUUUGACAUAGUUACCUGAUGUAAAUAUAUCCCAUGAUACCAUCGCAAAAAGAAGUAUCUGAGCCAAACUCAAUGUGUCUAGAAUACCUGCAGUCUUUUUUCUUUUCCCUGUCUUCCUGCCUGCCUGCCUGCCUGCAUAUAACCCACCCCCC
rnacentral:lncRNA from 1 species